AGCAGUCCAAAAGACAAGGUGAUAUCUCUGCGAUGUGAAGACUGGUUCACUCCCUCCAACACAGGAUGUGGCUGAUGGCUUGUCCUCAAAACUAAUCGACAAAGGUGCCCAAUUUGUGGAUGAUAACAUGGAAAAACUUGUUCAAAGGAUUACCAUGGUGAUGCCAAUAGCAGAUGGCCUGCACCAGAGGAAAAUGAUCCAUGAUGAGGAUUACUCUGAAAUCACUGCGGCCCAAACCAGUAUGUCAAAGAUGAGAAAGCUGUAUGUGGCCCUGAAACCAGGAGGAGAGGUGGCUAAAUCAGCCUUUUACAAAAUUCUACUGGAACAACAAUCUCUUCUAGUCAACGAACUGGGUGGGGUUGGCCAGAAAUGAAGUCAUAACUUGAGCGGCUUCUACAGUCUUGGUCUGGACGGACUUUUUUUCAAAUCUCACACAUUGCCUCAGAAAUAUUGGUCCUUUCACACCACUGUUGUCAAACAACAAUUUGGAACAAAAUAAAUAAAAUAAAAAUAUUGAAUCACA